CUUGCACACUUGCAGGUCUUCCUUCGGUUGUCUUGCUUUCUUGUGGGUUCAUGUAUUUACUUUUCCUGGCUUUGCAGCAGUCUUCGUUCUGUUUCUUUCUUCGGUUGUUCUCCAGUUCUUUCUUCGGCUUGCCGCGGGUGGUUGGGGUGUUUAUCGGUGAGUUGGUGGGUUUAGGGGCUUUCGUGCUGUCUUUGCUUCGAUUUUCUUGGCCGUUGCUCUUGCUUUUUGUAGGUUCAUGUAUUUGCAGACGAUCUUGAGUGAAGAAAGCGAUAAUGGAAGAACAUACGUGCUUCGACUACCUCGGGCGUCGAAUCAGAGCCGAUUUCUCUGAUCAACUCAUCUCUUCCCAUGCUAUCUCCGAUUCCGCCCUCCCCUUCUCCUCCACUGUCGUCGUUCACGUGCACAAAUACAGCAAGACGAGUGCACAUAUCUAUUUCCAUUAGUUUCUAUUUCGAUUGAAUUGAACUCUAUGGACUGUGUGUAUGUCUCUUUGUUUAAACUGUGCAGAUGCCGAGUUCGGCUUCCCGAUUCAUUGUGGUACAGCUAGCUCACGAUGGGCAUCAGUGCUUGAACAAUUAUAUAUGAAGAAAGAAGAAAUUUGGGAGAGGCGACAGCAAAGGCUUCACUCGACGAAAAAAAGAGACAAUGGAGAGAUCAAGGUCUCAAGAAAUUGGAAUUUUUAGAAAGAAGCCUGCUCAUUUGUUGUAAAUCUUCAAGGUAUGGUUUGUUUGACGCAAAUUACUGUUGUGCGGAUUUUGGGAGUUUGAGAUUUAUAUUUGUAUUUAGAAAGAAGCACACUGAAAAUCCAAAGAAGGUGGAUAACAUCCUUCAUAGGCCUCCCCUUUACGGUUGUUUUCUCUCUCCUUUUCCUUGGUUUUUCUUUUGUUUCUUGAUGCAGGUCUCUCUCAAUUUAUUAUCAGCGCUCCUCUUCUUCACAAGAAGAACCCCCAUGACGAUUCAUGAUCCAGGCCAGGGAGCUUCGGUCUUUCGUAUUGGGCAUGAGGCAGAGGAAGCUAUCAAUUAUUUCCACAAAUCUUACCUUGACAUUUGCAGAAACACAUGUGGGGUAUGUACCCACCAUCAUUCGUUCUUUGUUAUGUUGUCCUUCUCUCUUUCUUCCUUCUAUUCAUUUUCUUUACGAAGACUUUGAAUGCUUAAGUUUUAAAGUGUUUUUUUUACAUCUCUGUAUAGCGCAACAAAUCCCUCAUCUAUUGUUUCCUAAUAUAAUUUAAAAUGGUUUUCAUGUCCUUAUCUUGGCAUGAUCUCAGGAGUCCUUGGUUGGGUUGUGUCGGUCACAUUGGAGCGUUUCUGUGCGAUGCUGUCAUAAAUGUAAUGCUAAUUGGGCAUCAAACUGUCUCUUAUUACAUUACAUAUGUAUAAAUUUGAAAAAAUUGGGGCGUUUCUGUGGCGAGUUGAGGGUCCUUUUUUGUACUCUCGCCAAUGGGCUUAGUUUUACAGCAGUUGUGGCCAGGAAACGAUGUCCCUUUUACAGCACUGAUUGUGUUACGAGCUAUAUCGCUGCUUAGAUGUUGCCAUGAAAUCUAAUCAGAUGUGAGGAGAGUGCUUCGUAGGUAUGAUUUCAAAUUUCAAAUUGAGUUAAUAUUUAGUGCUGUAAUUCUCAUUUUUCUUUACACGUUAUGCGGCAUUGACCCAAAGGUGAGGGAAACUUUGAGUCAUGGGUAUUGGGUAGAAUAAGCAUGUCCAUUGAAGAGAAUCCAAGCUUGGCCACUAAGCAGAGAAUGGUGGAGUCAAGUAAGACAAAAUUAUAUUGUUUUGAUACUCACUUACAUGGUUUUUCUUGGUGCAUGACAGAGAAUCGUAAGAUUCCUUCUACAGUAGAAAAUUUAAGGCAAAUUAUUGUUACUCUUCUUUGGGGAUCAAUUCAUUGCAUGGUUUUGAUGCUUGAUGAGCAUAGUAGUAAAAAAGAAUGAACGUUCUUUUUUUUUUUUGGGAACCAUUGAAAGAAUUCAGCGAAUGGUAGGAUGCUUGAUGAGUGUAGUAGUGAAAAUGAAUGUUUUUUUUGGAGACCAUUAAGGACAUGCUUUGUUUUAGAGGAUUUUAGGGAAAGCUGUAUUCAUUUUUUUUUUCCUGCAACACCACUGUUGAAAGUGGUUUGGUUAAACAUAUAUGUAGCCAAUUCAAAUUGAGAAUACCAGUUAGUAUUUUCCCUGAUUGUCAUCUGUGAUCUCAAUUUCUAACAACAAUGGUCAUAUCUAUUUAAAGUGCAUGCUAUUAGGGCUUUUUUGUGGCGAGUCCCACUGCUUUUCAGCUGAGCUUCAUCUCUGGUGAGUGCCUACUGUUACGAUUUUCUUUAUUAUUCUUGCCUCAUUCUCUAAACUUGACAAUAGAUACUCUGUGCAUGUGGUGUUAUGAUUUUCUUUAAUAGUCUUGGCUCCUUCUCUAAACUUGACAAUGGAUAUUUUAUGCAUCCUUGCUUGCAGAAGUUGAGUGUCUCUUGCUUCGAGGCUGCUUUUUUUUCUUACUAGGAAGUCAGGUCCAAGCUCUCCAAUGUUCAACAGGAUCAUCCGUGAUUCAUCCACAGAUGAGUAUUCCAAUAAUAAAUCAGCUGCUCUGAUGGAAAAUCCAUUGUUUUCGCAAGUGGACGCGGCGAAGGUCACAGUGGGAUCCCUAACUCCAUCCUCCUUGCCAGUUUUAACUUCGAUUACAGUUUUAUCUCUGCAUAGCCGGUUUUUGGUUUCUGGAGCCCACCUUUCCUGAAACUUCUUUGCCUUCACCCUUUUACAUCUUAGAGUUUUCACUCUUUGCUAGGGAGAGGCUCAUUCACUUGGAGUAAAAGAGCUAUUGUACGAGGAAAAAUUAGAAUACCAAGAGAUCUUGGUUUUUAAGUCCUCAACAUAUGGGAAAGUGCUUGCAAACAGACUGAAAUUCAUGUAUUUCCAACAACCACGCACAAAUGGAAGAGCCUAGAGGAGCGACUUAACAAAUUGCAGGUUCUUCUUUACAGGUGAGGUGAGGACAUGAUUGAUAAUCUGGAGGAUGGUUACACAUAGAGAAAAUAUGGACAAAAGGCUGUCAAGACUGCUGUUCUUUUGUUCCGUACUAUUUUUUUUUGUUCUUGGGUUCAGCACUUAGCAUGUGUUUGUGCUCACUAUUCUUUGGAUAUUUUGGACAGAUCAGUAAAACUAAAGAUGACAUAGUGAAGCUUUUUGACAGUAUUGAACAAUAUCGUAUGUUUGUUAUCUGCUAUACUUCCUUUUUGUCCCAAA